rnacentral:lncRNA from 1 species
AUUCGGUUAUAUUUUAUUUUUAAUAUAUUCAACAAUGAAAAAACAAAAUAAAAUUCAACAAUCAAACAGAUUGCACACAGUUUACGUGGACAUUACCAAACAAUGCCAUUUCAAUCCUUGCAUUGACCAUGUAAAUUACGAGUGGAAGCCCCUCCCAAUGUUAACCAAUCUGAAGAUAACUAUUUUUUACUUUUUGCUUGGUAUGUAUAAAAUGAUAAAAAGGUUGUACUGUGAACAUCCCAUUAAGAAAUUGUAAAUUAGUCAUUCUUUUUUAAAUGUGUAUAAAAGGGUUUAUAGAAAUCAGUCGAGUGGGAGAAUUGAUCACAAAUUCAUAUUCCCUCUGCAAUUUCGUUAAAAUACAAUUUUUGUUUCACAUAAAAUCCAAACAACUAUUUGGAGAAAAAAAGAUUGGGCACUAUAACCUAUGUAAGAAAGUAAUCUUAUGUCAGAAAAGGUUUACAUUGAGCUAUUAAACUAGACUAAACAGUUUUCCCACCGAUAUUUUCUGACCUAGGUCAAUGACCUAUCAUAUCAACUAUAAUUAAAUGUCUAAAAAGAAAUGGGUCUAGAUAACCUCUGAUGACCAGCAAUCUAAUACAUCUUUAGUAUGAGUAUAAUUGUCUUUAUAGUUACAGAAAACAAGGAGACUAUACAUAAUCAUCGUAUUAUUCAUUUUAUAAAUCUCCUCUCAUAUUUAUUGAUAAUUGUUGCCUAAUCCAAACUAAUUGGAAGAAAUGACAAACGAAAAAUCACAUUGUGUUUAUUUUUUAUUAAAAUGUAUUUGUGGUCUUUAUAAUUCCCUCUUGAAUGAUAUAUAUCGGUAGCUAUCUUAUUCUCUUAAGAUUGUGGUCUGUAUCUUAUUUUUGUAUCACUCUUGUAUCACUCUUGUAUCACUUGGUGUUAUAUGAAAAAUGCAUUAAUAGAUUUGCCUACCCUUCAUAGGUUAAAAAAAAAUCAACAAUUCAAAUUUGGGAGAUUUAUGAUUUCUUCCAAAAAAUAAUAAACACUUCAUGUUUCAAUUAAAUUAGUCUUUUUUUUCAAAUACAAAUCCAAUCCAAAGCUUGACAAAGUCUGAUGUUCAACAACAGAAAAUUCAAAAUGUUUAGAUGCAAAAUUUUUGAGGAA